rnacentral:rRNA from 1 species
UGGGGAAUUUUGGACAAUGGGCGAAAGCCUGAUCCAGCAAUGCCGCGUGUGUGAAGAAGGCCUUCGGGUUGUAAAGCACUUUUGUCCGGAAAGAAAUCCUUGGCUCUAAUACAGUCGGGGGAUGACGGUACCGGAAGAAUAAGCACCGGCUAACUACGUGCCAGCAGCCGCGGUAAUACGUAGGGUGCAAGCGUUAAUCGGAAUUACUGGAGUAAAGCGUGCGCAGGCGGUUUGCUAAGACCGAUGUGAAAUCCCCGGGCUCAACCUGGGAACUGCAUUGGUGACUGGCAGGCUAGAGUAUGGCAGAGGGGGGUAGAAUUCCACGUGUAGCAGUGAAAUGCGUAGAGAUGUGGAGGAAUACCGAUGGCGAAGGCAGCCCCCUGGGCCAAUACUGACGCUCAUGCACGAAAGCGUGGGGAGCAAACAGGAUUAGAUACCCUGGUAGUCCACGCCCUAAACGAUGUCAACUAGUUGUUGGGGAUUCAUUUCCUUAGUAACGUAGCUAACGCGUGAAGUUGACCGCCUGGGGAGUACGGUCGCAAGAUUAAAACUCAAAUGAAUUGACGGGGUCAUAGCUG